AUAUGCUCUUAUCAAAGUAGAUUGCUGAAUUACAAUGAUAGAUUUUCUGUUUUAUUUCAGGCAUCACUACCAGAACAAAAUGAAGACCAAAAACACAGAGAGAAGAAACUGCAGAGAGAGAGGACUGUUUAUGACAUAGACCCUAACAGACGUGAACUCAGAGGCAGAGAGAAGAGCAAGGAAAGAACAAGAGAGAGAGAAAGAUUUAAAUCCAGUGAAAGGAACAGGGACAAACGGAGAGAAAGGGAACAGGAACACCAGAGAGAAGACCGAGGGAGACACAAAGAUAAGGUUCAAGAGUCAUAUUUGGAGGAGAGACAUGGUAUACUGAAACAUAAAGACAGAGAGACUGAUAGAGAACGAGACAAAAAGCACAAGACAUAUGAAAUAAAGCAAACAGAUCCACAAAAUUACCUGAAAUCAUUUGAAGGAAGAGAUACAGAACAUCACAGAAGAAGAGAAAUCAGGCAUCGUUUGGAGGAGGAGAAAGCAAGAACUGAGGAGCGAGAAAGAAGACAUAAAGCACAGAAGGAUAAUGAUUUAAGAAAGAAAAUUGAGAAAGUUUUAGCCUACAAAGUUGAAGAAGGUGAACGUGUACACAAGUUAGAGAAACAUCAAGAGCUGGAUAAAGAGAGAGAAAGAAAACACAGAGAAAAAAAAGAACAUUCUGUUGGGACAGAAAAAGAGAGGCUUUCUAAAGAGAAAAGUCAUAAACAUUAUGGAAAGGGAGAGGAAGAAAAGCAUAAAUCGAAGAGAUCUAAAGAAAAGUCUUCCCAUGGAGACAGAGAGGGGCCAGCAGCAGAAGCUAAGGAGAGAGUAAAAAGUAGAGAAAAUGAGAGAAAGAAACAUGAUCUAAAGAACAGUGAAUACAAAAAGGAGGACAAGAUUCAAGAAGAAAUGAGACAUCAGCUUACAAGGACUGUAAAAGAUAAAGGAAAACUCAUCAAAAAAGAGGAGAUGGACACAAGACAAGAGGUAAAACUAAGGAAGAGGAAAUGAUUUUUAUAUUUUGAAAUUAUUUAUUUUAAUAUUUUUAAAUGAACAGGUGCA
rnacentral:lncRNA from 1 species